UACGUAGGCAGCAAGCGUUGUUCGGAAUUACUGGGCGUAAAGAGUGUGUAGGCGGUGCUCCAAGUCUGGUGUGAAAUCUCCCGGCUUAACUGGGAGGGUGCAUUAGAAACUGGAAUGCUAGAGGAUGGGAGAGGUAGGCGGAAUUCCUGGUGUAGCGGUGAAAUGCGUAGAUAUCAGGAGGAACACCUGUGGUGUAGACAGCUUACUGGACCAUUUCUGACGCUGAGACACGAAAGCGUGGGUAGCAAACAGG
rnacentral:rRNA from 1 species